UACGGAGGAUGCAAGCGUUAUCCGGAUUUAUUGGGUUUAAAGGGUGCGCAGGUUGUUUGAUAAGUCAGUGGUGAAAGUCUGUCGCUUAACGGUAGGAUUGCCAUUGAUACUGUUAGACUUGAAUAUGGAUGAGGUAGGCGGAAUGUGUAGUGUAGCGGUGAAAUGCAUAGAUAUUACACAGAACACCAAUUGCGUAGGCAGCUUACUGAGCCGACACUGACGCUGAGGUGCGAAAGCGUGGGUAGCAAACAGGA
rnacentral:rRNA from 1 species